GGCACCUAUACAGAGGUGGCGGCAGGUGGUCCCGCUGCGAGUAUAAUAACAAUAAUAACAAUAUACACUUCUCGCGCGCGAUAUUGAAAAGUGUGUCGGGUUUUCGGACGGGUUAUUAAAAAUAAACGAAGGGCAUGACAAACGACGGAUGAUGUGAGAAGAGACUCGGUUUAUAAAUAAUAAUAACGGCAAUAACAAUACACGCGCGGUGUAGCCAUGGGUAUCCGUGUCAUCCGAUGUCGUCCGCGAGAUUAUAAUUAUUUACAAUAUAUUACGAUACAUUAAAUGUGUACGGUGGGUAAUCGAUGGCACCCUUCUGGUGGUUUUCACCGGUAAGACACGUUUUUAUUUCGCCCCCUUUUCGCUGUUGUUGAGCUAUCGCUAGCAGUGGCGUAGCCAGAAAGAGGCGGUGGACACGAGGGACACG